rnacentral:lncRNA from 1 species
AUGCGAAAGGAGCCCGGUGCCCGGCCCAAGAUCCAAACAAGCCUGACGCGGGUGGAGGAGAGUGACGACGAAGGGGAAAAGCCUCCGAGAAUCCCAGCUACGCUCCCAACUGAGACCCUGGUGCCCCUGGCGAAUGCCGGGCGUGGCACAGGGCCAAGAGAAGCAGCAGCAGGGCCCACUGGUCCGCAAGGGGGCUUGCGACUGGCGGAGAAUUGGGGAUUGCCACCACAGGGACCCCUACCGAGACGAGAGGAACUAAGGAUCGAGUUUGGGGGAGAGUCCUCUGAACUGGAUUUUUUCCUGACCACGGUGAGGGGCUAUAUGGAGGACAAUGCUCACACUUUUAGAACGGAAUCCAGCCGGGUACGGGCCAUUGGUGCAGUGUUGAAGAGGGGAGCGGCCAGCUGGUACGUUCAACUGCACGCGCGGCGCGACCCAUGUCUGGGGUCACUCCGACGCUUUAUGGGGGCCCUGGAGACCCGUUUCCGAGAUCCACUGGAGCAGAUCCGGGCGAGGGAGAAGUUGAAGACCGUCUCCCAGGGGCAGAGAUCGGUAUCUGAGUAUGCGGAGGAGUUCCAAUGCCUCGCUGAAAAGGUGCCGGAAUGGUCUGCAGUGACAAAGAUAGAACUCUUCAAAGAGGGGCUCAGGCGGGAGAUCCUCUCCUGGGCGGUGCAUCGUGAUGAGCCUGACACACUGCGCGGAUGGAUUCAGCUGGCGGGGCGCAUCGAGACAUCGCUGGCCCAGGCGAGGAGGCACCGAGGAGGGCUACAGCAGCGGCCGCAGAUGAAAGAGGGGAGCCGGAAGGAGGGAUCAACCCCAGCCGGGAGGAGAACGGAGCCGACAGGGAACGUGAGCACCAGCAGGAGGGGCUGCUUCGUGUGCGGCCGUUUGGGCCACAGGGCUGCCGAGUGCUGGCAGAGAAAAGGGGAAGGCGGAGGCCCGCCCAAACCAAGAGCCGUGGCAGGGAAACGCGCCGAGGAAGAACCACCGAUGAGGCACCACUCGGGGGGGUUGGAUGAAGGGGAGGAGGACGCCAUGUCAGAACCCUGCUACUAGAGCCUGGAUGUGGCUCUGAGUUUCAGGGUCACUGACAUUGAUAAGACACCUGCGGCUCAGGACUUGGAGAAGAAACGGCUGCUGGACUUGGCGGGGAAUUUGCGCGGGGUUUUACUGAGCGGGAAGAGACUGUUCAAAUGAGGGGGAGGGUAUAUAAAGGAGGGUUGGCCGUAGUAUCCCAUUCUUGGCUUUUCUGAUGUUCAUGUUUCCUACAGUAAAAGUUUCUGGUGAUAUCACAGAGAGUCUUGUGUGUUCAUUCAGGAGCGGCUGUGGUGAGCUGACACCCUCCUUAUUAUCCAAAAUAUUCGCUUAUCCAAGCAUCUGCUGGCUCGUUUAGAUUGGAUAAGUGAGACUCUACUGUACAUUAAGAUUUUACAAAUUAAGCACCAAAACAUCAUGUUUUACAACAAAUCAACAGAAAAAGCCGUCUCGACUGCGCCCCCGUAUGUUUAGCGCCCCAA